CCUACGGGUGGCAGCAGUGAGGAAUAUUGGUCAAUGGACGGAAGUCUGAACCAGCCAUGCCGCGUGCAGGAUGACGGCUCUAUGAGUUGUAAACUGCUUUUGUACGAGAAUAAUAGUCCUUACGUGUAGGGAUUUGAAUGUAUCGUACGAAUAAGGAUCGGCUAACUCCGUGCCAGCAGCCGCAGUAAUACGGAGGAUGCGAGCGUUAUCCGGAUUUAUUGGGUUUAAAGGGUGCGCAGGCGGGCUGUUAAGCCGGCGGUAAAAAUUCAGGGCUCAACCCUGUCGAGCCGUCGGAACUGGCAGUCUUGAGUGGGCGAGAAGUAUGCGGAAUGCGUGGUGUAGCGGUGAAAUGCAUAGAUAUCACGCAGAACGCCGAUUGCGAAGGCAGCAUACCGGCGCCCAACUGACGCUGAGGCACGAAAGCGUGGGUAUCGAACAGGAUUAGAUACCCUGGUAGUC
rnacentral:rRNA from 1 species